AUUAAUUCAAUAAUAAGACGAUUUAAAGUGUUUUAAACUUGGAUAGCUGUGUAGAGGAAAGAGCUUCGCUUUGUUACUGCCAGUUAAAUUCUUCUUGAUGGUGAAAUUGCCAACUUUAAUGAAUCAAAAAAAAAAUGAAUGUCUUUUUCCUGCUGUACAGUUGAAUUCCACACUGAUCACGGUUGGCUCCCACCAGUGCUGCCAGGAUUGGCUCCAUCUCCCUGCAGGCGUGAACUGGUACACAGGCAGGUUAGAAUGUGGACGUUUGCCACAUGCACACACUUAAAGAACUCAUCAACAGUGACAGGGACGGCAGUACAUAGUGGCAUAGUGUCAUGUUUGUCAUCCUGAUAGCUAGUGCCAUGUUGGCAAAGUCGGACUAAACUGAACACGGAAACCUUGAUAACCUUUAAGAAGUUUCUGAAUGAGAUUUUUAUAAUGGCUUAGCUAUUAGCCAAACAAACUAGCCUGCUGGACCGAAUGGUCUUCUCUCGUUUGUCAAAUGUCUGAUGUUCUAGUACAGUUCUGCAUGGGUACAGGUAAUCUCCAACCUCCAUUGCAUCUCGACUCCUCUUCACUCCAUUGUGUUCUUAAAGACCUUAGUAACAGUGACAGGGACGGCAGUGCAUAGUGGCAGAUUUUCUUAAAAAUGGUGUCACGUUUGUCAUCCUGAUAGCUAGUGCCACGUUGGCAAAGUCGAACUAAACUGAACACGGAAACCUUGAUAACCUUUAAGAAGUGUCUGGAUGAGAUUUUUAUAACAGAUUAGCUAUUAGCCAAACAAACUAUCCUGGUGGACCAAAUGGUCUCCUCUCGUUGUCAAAUUUCUGAUGUUCUAGUACAGUUCUGCAUGGCUAGAGGUAAUUAAUCUCCAUCAUCCAUUGCAUCUCGAUGACUCCUUUUCAUAUAAAUUUACACUCUGCCACCGUGGCUGCCAUGGGUGGGUAAACAGUACCACUCAAGUGCCCCCAGCUUAUACAGUAAAUGGGAUCAACUAGAAGUCUUCCCACAGGUUAUGUUGCUGAGAGCCUGCUGGGAGGCUACGACGAUUUCACGAUUCUGUUUACAGUGCGGCCACCAUUACAAAACCUUUAUUAUUACUGAAUACUGGAAACAACAAAACUCAAAGCGCGUAUUCAUCUCACCUGUUAACGUAUUCUUUGAGAAGGAAGGAAAGCAAAAUUUUGAGUUUUGGGUGAACUAAACCUGUGAUCCAUUUUUUUUUUCCUGCUUUUGUCAAAAAAUCCGUGGUAUUGUGUGGCUGUGAUUUAUGAACGUUUCGAAGGGUAAGGUGAUGAAAUGAGCGUAUAGAAGACUGUAAAUAUUUAUCUUUUUUUAACUUCUUUGAUUUGUGCAAAUGAACUUUAGAAAUCCUUGCUGGCUUAAAGCCAGGCGUCCAGUAUCUAAAAAGCCAUCUCACCUGCUUGUUUUUCUCCGGUUCUUCUCGAUGCCUGAAUCUAUAAAUUCCCAAAUGUAUUCUAAUAAUCGCCAAGUCCUGUUCUUCUCCACACGGCCUAUAAUAAUCACAAAAGGCCAAAGCGUCACCCUUUUUUCUCAAGGCCGUGAAGGUGAGGUGAGGUGAGGGUUAGGUAUUAUAAAAGCACCUGGGUGUGGUGAUCCCCAAAUGUGCAUUAUUAUGGGACAGGCCAGUAGCAGCUUCAUGCUAUGCUUUUUCUAUGAAACCAAACUUGCAUGUUAAAUCAGCUGUCUGGGGUGCAGAUAGAUUGUGUUGGGUCCGUUAAGUGGGUGUUUGUGGCGAUGUGCACAGGUUGGCAUCAUCUCCCGUGAUCUAAAUGUAAACAUGCUACACAGACCACUCUUAUGGGGUCUAAUGCUGCCAUUUUACAGUCAUGGUAGUCCUGGUGAUGAAUGGACUAUAACACGGUAGAUGGUUAACCCAGCACAUGCCAUCAAGGAGAAUCGGAGCAGCCAGAAGAUGAGAACGGGGUGUCCCACUGGGAAUUUUGGGGGGGGGGAGGGGGGUGGUCUCUUGCAAACAGGGACUUGAAUAUUUUAUUUAGUGAGCUCCCAGUUUACCAAACCUCUUUUCACUUAAGGUACCACCCAGUCUGCGGUGGGCUGGCGCCCUGCCCGGGGUUUGUUUCCUGCCUUGCGCCCUGUGUUGGCUGGGAAUUGGCUCCAGCAGACCCCCGUGACCCUGUAGUUAGGAUAUAGCGGGUUGGAUAAUGGAUGGAUGGAUGGUACCACCCAGUACUCUCCAAUGUGUCUCCUCUCUCCUGCCCGCUUUAUGUACAUUCUGCAGAUUUCCAUUUCCCAGGUGCCCAUCGUAGGAGACAUUACUUGCGACCCCCCCCAAUAGCAUUUGCUGUUUCACAUUGUUUUGCCCCUCUUACCCACUUUGACUUGUUGCCGCAGAUCUGGACUGUCACAGCUCCUGUGUCUCUGACGUCUCACAGAAAUGGAAAAAUAGUUUGUGAAAUGCUCGGCGAAUUUGCUCGUAAGUUUAGAAGCGGGUACAGCACAUGGGGUAGAAAGGCAAACUCAGCUGAAGGAGUAGAGCCUUUGGUGGGCACGUGGGGUGCUACCAUCCUAUGCGAAUCUUCAGUUUUCCUUUUUCUUCCAUCUUGCAGUCAGAUUUAUAUGCCUUGAGGAGUAACAAAAUCUCCGAGAUUAAAAACCUCAUUAGGACAAAGGGAAAGGCGAAAAAACAAAAUAGUUUGGCUUCCCCCUUUUUUUACCAGUAGGAGCCCCCAGUAUUCCCUAUCUGGCUGUUCCAGCGGCCACCAGUUUGGAAGUGAGGUGUAAACUGAUCGCACAGGCUUGAUUCCUGCCUGAUGCCCAGUGCUGCCAAGGUAGACCCAAUAGACCCUGGCCACCCGCACCCCAGAGUGUCACAUGCAUUGUGCCCCCGUGUCAGUGAAUUCACAAAACCUUUGACCCUCAUAAAUGAGAGCCCUGUGAAAUCACAACAGUUGUGCCACCUUUAUAACAAAUCUUAGGAUGCCGCCUCCAAUGUCCUGUGUCAUCCAUAACACCUGUGUGUAGUAAACCAUGAAGAAGCCCCUUUGGGUACUCCAGGGGCUGCCCCUUUAAAAUGUCAGCUGCUUUGGUUAUGGGGUGUGUAGCCUGCGGUUCACACCGAUGGUUAUGUUUUUCAGAUGUUUUUGGACUUGUCCAGCUGUGCCAUGCGUUGUCAGAUAAGGACAUUCUUCCCAGGUCUCCUUUCACGUCUCGCUUUGUUAUUUUUUAGUCGGAUAUGGUUGCCUAAAAUGGGGUCUGUGUGCUUGUAUCUUUUCCUGCAUGUGCCAAAUGUGUAUACAGUAUCUACAGAAU